rnacentral:lncRNA from 1 species
GACCGUCCUUGCUAGAGGACCCACCUGCUGGGUCUGGCCCAACAGGCUGGAUGCCGUGGCAGUGGAGGUGCAGCAGGUGACGGCUCAGGAACACUUGCAGUUGGAUGUCUGAAAGCUGAGUGGUCUGUUUGUCCUGCAGGUGGGGAGCAGCCGAGAAGUGAGACACACAGGCCGAGGUGAUCAGGAAUUGUGGCUGCACAGUGCAUUGAGGGACUUUUGGUCCUGGCAGGACUUUGGAUCAUGGGGCAGAAAUGGAAAAAGGAAGGAGGGCGAAUUGGUUUCGGCUCCCACACGGGGUCUAAAGGACUGGUAGUAGCUGUUUAGUGUUCUAUGUCAAGGGAGAUUUUAAAAUCUGGCUUCAGCAGAAAAAGUAGGAAAGAAUCAUGUGGUCAGUUGAAGACAUCUACCACGAGGACCUUGUGGGGAUUUGUUGUCUCUGGGCAGCAGCAAAAGGGUCAGGAUGGUAGACAGCUCCCAGAGGCAGGGAUUCAACGGAUGGAGGCUUCCCUGUGACUGGUGAAGAGGUCUGGGUCCUCUGGGUGCAAGGAACUGGCCUCAUGAGCAAGGCAGGAAGCUGGUUAUCAGAGCUGGAACCUGAAGCCAGGGUGCGAGAACAGCCAGGGGACAUGGUGCACAGUCCUAAGCACUGGGCUUGAACAUCUUAAGUCCUUUCUGCUCAGGACCAGGACUAUGACAUGGGACUGCACUGUGGCCCCUGCUGGAAUGGCGGUCUGCCUCUGGGGCAGCCUGAAUUGGCUUAUUCAGGGAAGAGGAAUGAUUGGCUUCCUUGGGGCUCCUGAGUCCUGUUGGAAAUUGGCAAUGCUGACCUUCCCGUCCUAACCUCGUCCAUCCAGGCUGUGAGGCCAGGCCUGGACAAGUCAUUAGGGAAGUGUCCGAAUUCAGAAGAAAAAGAAAAUAGCAAGAUCUGGGAGAUCCAUUAAGUUUUCCAUCCCGUGUCCGGACACCUGGUUUUCCACUGGGGAAACUCGUGAGACACCUCUGCCUUCUUGACCUCAGUGGCCCUGGCUGGGCCUCCUGACUUUGGAGCUUCC